CAGGGUGUGGCAAAACCAGGAUGAGCCAGCACCAAGCUUGCAACAUCUCGUUAUUGUGUCCUCCCUCCAAAAAUGCGUCUCCGUUAUCUGAAGUGAAAUAGUCGAAAAUGUGCAAAUCGGCCGAACAGGUGUCAUCAGACAGGAUAAACACCAGUGAAUCAGCAAAGAAGAGGAGACUGAGUCAAGGAAAAAACGCAGGACCUUUUUGUGUACAAACCAACAAUGCAAAAACAGAGGCUUCUUCCUAAGGAUUGAAGAAAUAUGAACAAAUGAAAGCAAGAGUUUGGGUACCGUGCUUACAAGGUGACAGAGUGCAAGGAUUGUCCACGGGAUUCUCACAGUGUUUGCCCUCAUGGAACGGGUCGCACUCGCAGCUGUGGAGGUAAAAUGUACUCCAGUGGACCUUUGUCGUACAACAAACACAGUACAGAUUUCUGCCUGCGUACAUUAGACUCGAAAAAGCAGAACAAGUAUUCACCCGGGAAGAUCGUCGAGGCAGACGAUG